GACGUAGGGCGCGAGCGUUGUCCGGAUUUAUUGGGCGUAAAGAGCUCGUAGGCGGCUUGUUGCGUCAGCUGUGAAAAACCCGCAGCUCAACUGUGGGCUUGCAGCUGAUACGGGCAGGCUUGAGUUCGGUAGGGGAGACUGGAAUUCCUGGUGUAGCGGUGAAAUGCGUAGAUAUCUGGAGGAACACCGGUGGCGAAGGCGGCAUCCUGGACCGAGACUGACACUGAGACACGAAAAGCGUGGGUAGCAAACAGG
rnacentral:rRNA from 1 species